AAGCAGAAUUCGCUAAAACUGACUCUCUGUUCUAGGACUUGAAGCCACGUUUCUUCAAAUCUCAGUUUCCAGAUCUGAAAAAGAACAAAGAAUUUGACUGAGGGGCAUAAAGAAGAAAAAGAGAUGGAGGCAAGUUCCAGAGCAGGAAUGGAAGUUUAUUGAAAAAGGCCUCAGAACAGCAAAGAAAGGAAGGUGUGCUUGGAAGAGACCCACUGCUAAAACUUAGAAGUACAAAAGUUUUUAAUUUUGUUGAUGUCCAGUUCAUCUAUUUUUUUGCUUGUGUUUAUGCUGUCAGAUCAAAGAAACCGUUGCUUAAUUCGCAAAGAUUUAUGACUAUGUUUCUUCUAAAACUUUCUAAUUUAGCUCUUGCAGUUAUGUCUUUGAUCUAUUUUGAAUUAAUUUUGUAUAUGGUGUGAGGUGCAGAUCCAAAUUCCUUCUUUUGCAUAUGGUAGCCAGUUAUCUCAUUUGUUGGAAAAACUAUUCUUUCCCUUGAUGCACUGGUUGAUAAUCAAUUGACCAGAAGUGUGAGGGUUUAUUUCUGGACUUUCAAUUCUAUUCCAUUGUCUGUCCUUAUACCAGUAUCACACUGUUUUGAAUACUGUAGCUUUGAAAUAUGUUUUGAAAUUCAGAAGUAUAAAUUAUCUGAUUUUGUUCCUUUUCAAGAUUGUUUUGGUCAGUCUGAUUCCCUUGAUUUCCACAUGAAUAUGAGGACAAUCUUAAAAAUUUCUACUAGAAAGGCAGGUGGGUAUUUGAUAGAAAUUGCUUUGAAUCUGUAGUUCAAUUUUGGGGGUAUUGCCAUCUUAACAAUACUAAAUCUUCCAGUGCAUGAUACAGGAUGUCUUCAAUUUAUUUAAAUAAUAUUUAAUUACUUUUAAUAAUGUUUUAUAAUUUUUAAUGCAGAAGUCUUUCAUUUAUUGUGUUAAACUUAUUCCUAAGUAUUUUAUUAUUUUUGAUAUUAUUGGAAAUUGAAUUAUUUUCUAAAUUGGACUUCUGGAUUGUUUAUUGCUAGGGUAUAGAAAAAGAAUUGAUUUUGUACAUUGAUCUUGCAUUCUGCAACCUUGCUAAAGUCUCUUCUUUGCUCUAAUAGUUUCUUUGUGAAUAUCUUAGGAUUAUUUUUUCUUUUUUUUGAGAUGGAGUCUCAUUCUGUCACCCAGGUUGGAGUGCAGUGGUGCCAUUUCAGCUCACUUCAACCUCUGCCUCCCAGGCUCAAGUAAUCCUCCCACCUUCCACCUUAGCCUCCCAAGGAGUUGGGACCACAGGCACAUGCCACCACUCCUGGCU
rnacentral:lncRNA from 1 species